rnacentral:rRNA from 1 species
UAACAGUUCGGCUGAGCACUCUAGGGAGACUGCCUUCGCAAGGAGGAGGAAGGUGAGGACGACGUCAAGUCAUCAUGGCCCUUACGGCCAGGGCUACACACGUGCUACAAUGGGGCGUACGGAGAGCUGCGAUACCGCGAGGUGGAGCCAAUCUCUUAAAGCGUCUCUCAGUUCGGAUUGUUCUCUGCAACUCGAGAACAUGAAGCUGGAAUCACUAGUAAUCGCAGAUCAGCUAUGCUGCGGUGAAUACGUUCCCGGGUCUU